AUUGAACGCUGGCGGCAUGCUUUACACAUGCAAGUCGAAUGGUAACAGGCCGCAAGGUGCUGACGAGUGGCGAACGGGUGAGUAAUGCAUCGGAACGUGCCCAGUCGUGGGGGAUAACUACUCGAAAGAGUAGCUAAUACCGCAUACGAUCUAUGGAUGAAAGCGGGGGACCGUAAGGCCUCGCGCGAUUGGAGCGGCCGAUGUCAGAUUAGGUAGUUGGUGGGGUAAAGGCUCACCAAGCCAACGAUCUGUAGCUGGUCUGAGAGGACGACCAGCCACACUGGGACUGAGACACGGCCCAGACUCCUACGGGAGGCAGCAGUGGGGAAUUUUGGACAAAGGGCGCAAGCCUGAUCCAGCAAUGCCGCGUGCAGGAAGAAGGCCUUCGGGUUGUAAACUGCUUUUGUACGGAACGAAACGGCUCUGGUUAAUACCCGGGGCUAAUGACGGUACCGUAAGAAUAAGCACCGGCUAACUACGUG
rnacentral:rRNA from 1 species